rnacentral:rRNA from 1 species
UACGUAGGGUGCGAGCGUUUGUCCGGAAUUAUUGGGCGUAAAGGGCUCGUAGGCGGUCUGUCGCGUCGGGAGUGAAAACUCAGGGCUUAACCCUGAGCCUGCUUCCGAUACGGGCAGACUAGAGGUAUGCAGGGGAGAACGGAAUUCCUGGUGUAGCGGUGGAAUGCGCAGAUAUCAGGAGGAACACCGGUGGCGAAGGCGGUUCUCUGGGCAUUACCUGACGCUGAUGCACGAAGGCCAGGGUAGCGAACGGG